rnacentral:rRNA from 1 species
AGUUUGAUUAUGGCUCAGGAUGAACGCUAGCGGCAGGCUAACACAUGCAAGUCGAGGGGCAUCGGGAGUAGCAAUACUUGCCGGCGACCGGCGCAAGGGUGCGUAACGCGUGAGCAACAUGCCCGUAUCAGGGGGAUAAUCCAUGGAAACGUGGUCUAAUACCCCAUAGUAAUUAUGUAAGGCAUCUUAUAUAAUUUAAAGCUUUGGUGGAUACGGAUUGGCUCGCGUGACAUUAGCUGGAUGGUAAGGUAACGGCUUACCAUGGGCUACGAUGUCUAGGGGUUCUGAGAGGAAGGUCCCCACACUGGAACUGAGACACGGUCCAGACUCCUACGGGAGGCAGCAGUGAGGAAUAUUGGACAAUGGAUGGAAAUCUGAUCCAGCCAUGCCGCGUGCAGGAAGACGGCCCUAUGGGUUGUAAACUGCUUUUGUAUGGGAGCAAUAAGGGCUACGUGUAGUCCGAUGAGAGUACCAUACGAAUAAGCACCGGCUAACUCCGUGCCAGCCGCGGC